rnacentral:lncRNA from 1 species
UUUACAUCAGUUUUUAGUCAUAUUUAUCAAUUAUGUUUUACCCUAAAAAAUUUCAUGGCUAAGCUCCGUAAGUGUGAAAUGCUUUAAUGGAGUGAAAAUGGCGGCAAAGAAUUUUAAAAAAAGUUCGAUUGAUUGCUCCAUCAAAAAUUUUAAUUGCUGUAAGAUUUGUAAUGAAUUUAUGCGGUUUGUCUAUUGUAUCCUUAUGCACAGUAAGUUUGAAUACUUUAAAUCCUUAACACCCAUUAACCGAUUCAAUGUAAUCAUUAUUUUAAACUUAAUGGACGUUUACAAAUAUCGCGUCAGAAAUUCCUUUAAAGGAAUUCGCCGUAUCAAAACAUCCAAUAAAAUUCGUCGAUAGAUCGUUUUGUUCUUUUUAAAGUUAAAUUUAUGUUUCUUAUCCCCGAUUAAUUGAUCCUAUCGAGAAGAAAAAAUAUCUUCCAGAUAAAAAUUCUAAACGAGAAACGUGUCUCUCGUAUAGAUAUGUUAAAUAUAUACAGUUUAACAUCUUCAUUCCGUCCGAUUCCGCGGAAAUCGGAUAAUAUGUUAAAGAAUUUCGUAAUUUAACUUUAUUAAACAUUUCUUUGUCCGCAGAUUUUAUCACGAAAGAAUUUUCUAGCUAUAAAGAAACUUUUAGAAUUGUUCCCGAAUGCCAUCGAUCUUUGAUUAAAAAAAAAUUUUUUUUAAAGUUCAGUUGAAUGGCGAUUAUCCUAUAUUGUACGGAAUUCUAAAUCUGGAGGAUAGUUUAAAUAAAAAUCUAUAAUCACUAGAGAAUACAAUUUGUCAGCUGAUUGCCGUUCUAAAUCUAAUUUCGUUAGAGAAUUGGCUGGACAUUCAGCAAGAGAAAAAGAGUUGUUUUGGCAUCUUCGACAUUUGCAGGAGACUGGGACAAGAAAAAGUUUGGAAGAAAGCAAUAGGUUCUACUCUUGACAUUCGGGAACGGGUGAAGAUCCACUAAUUCUAACCGUUCACUACCCUAUUGUGUCCUGGGCAGAAAGACUCAAGAAUCGAUCUAAAAUAUCCUCCAAUAGAUAUCGAAGUUCAUUCUUCUUUUGUCGACUGGAUUCUUUUCAUCAAAAUCAUAUAAAAUUUCACUGUUAUUGCUCUCGGAAAAGAUUUCAUUAAAAACGGAAACGUCCAACAAAGUCGGUACGAGGAAAGAAUGUAUUCCGAACUCCAAACAAACAUCUACGUUAAUAGCCAAUUAUCGAUUUAACCUUCAGCCAUAUUUUCUCCGAAAUAAUGACUCACUUUUAAUGAACAGAUGUCCUAACAUCUCCAAUCUUUUUUCUUUUUAAAGAAAAGAUUAAGUGGACCGGCUCCAUGGCGUAAUUAUUAUUAAUUUAUAUGAAAAUUAACCAUUUUGAUGCGGUUACCGAAUAUACUCUGUGUACCGAAUAUCUCUGUGAGCCGCUUAAACUGAUAUAAAUUAAAAUUUACCGCAAUAAAAAUUUAAAUAUUCAGAACCAUAUCGAUCAGAGAAGAUAUCGAUUAUAAACGGAAAAAGCUCUCAAAAAAAAAAAAAUUCUCCAAACUUUAUUCCGGUUGACGUUUUCGAUGACACUGCAAUGUUGAAAUUCUAAGUAAACAGCUUAAAAAAUGUUUUCUGCUAGCUAAUUAAAGUUUUAAAAGCACGUUUUAGAGCGAUUGCUCUGGUCAAGAUCAUCUUGAGAAAAGUAGUAGUAGAAUUUUUUUCUUCUUCUUUUUUUUUUAUCAAUACGUUGUCCUCUAU